rnacentral:lncRNA from 8 species
CACUGGGGAAAAUAAGCGACACCUGGAGGAGGUGGAGACAAUCACAAGGACAGGUGAAACAGAUCAGGGCGUGACAAUUACCACGGUUUGAAAAACUCACGGUAAAUACUGACCAGCAUCAACCAAAGUUAGCAACAGUCUGAUGCAGGCGUAGCAUGCAACGCGGGUUUUGUUUUGUGUGAAAACAUGGCGUAAGGCAGUGACAGCGCUCGGGAGAUUUUUCAGCCUUCUAAGAGGACCAAAUCUGAAGUGUGGUCGUAUUUUGGGUUUUACAAGAGUGCUGAGGGAAACUUAAUCAAAGAUGGUCACCCCUGUCUGCAGAACAUGCAAAUAAAAAAUGUGCUGCAAAAGGUGGCAAGACUUCAAAUCUCUUGAGUCAUCUUUGUGACCACCACCUACUACUUUAUAGCAAAUGCAAGAGUGGGCAUGCAGCAGGAAAACCCAGUGAUGCUACUGGUCCCUCAUCUACAGUUGUGACAGACACUCAAGCAAGCAUUUAAAAGUGAAUGGUUGAAGGAGUUUGCGGAGAAAAAUUCUGUAAAGGAUGCCGAAUUCUACAUUACCAAAGGAUUGGAAAGGACCGACGUGAUUGAAUAAAACAAUUCAUCAAUCAAGUCAAAGGUAAGUUUGUUUUAACUUCUUAAUCAAUAUUUGUGAUACAUUCCCAAGAGAGGGUUGUGACUUUUGUGCUUGUGUUUUUGAUAGGGUGGGGGGGUUUUGCAAAGAAGAACAUUUUUGCAGAGACUUUUAUUUUGGAAUACAAAGGCAAAGUACACAACAUUGGGAAGAACUGGUAUUCCACCUGUAAUUCGAUCUAUGCCUUCCA